rnacentral:rRNA from 1 species
AGCGAACGCUGGCGGCAGGCUUAACACAUGCAAGUCGAACGGGCACUUCGGUGCUAGUGGCAGACGGGUGAGUAACACGUUGGAACGUACCUUUCGGUUCGGAAUAAUCCAGGGAAACUUGGACUAAUACCGGAUACGCCCUUCGGGGGAAAGAUUCAUCGCCGAUAGAUCGGCCCGCGUCUGAUUAGCUUGUUGGUGAGGUAAUGGCUCACCAAGGCGAAGAUCAGUAGCUGGUAUGAGAGGAUGAUCAGCCACAUUGGGACUGAGACACGGCCCAAACUCGUAAGGGAGGAAGCAGGGGGGAAAAUGGGAAAAUGGGCGCAAGCAUGAUCCAGACAUGCCGCGUGAGUGAUGAAGGCCUUAGGGUUGUAAAGCUCUUUUGACCGGGAAGAUAAUGACUGUACCGGAAGAAUAAGCCCCGGCUAACUUCGU